UUGGAAUAUUUAAUGUUGCAGGAAUUUUUUUGUAGCCAUCCUGUCUCUAAACUCUGCAGGCAGUUCCUUUGACACUUGUUUUUUUGCAGGGCUGUGGGGCUUACUAUAGACAGAUGUGUGCCUUUCCUGAUCAGGACCAAAGAUGGACUCCAAACAAGGUGUUGAAACAACCUUAACAGAAUGCAUUGUACCUAACACAAAAUUCAGGGGGCACAGCUAAAGAUUUCAACACAUUUGAAAAGCUAGCAGGAAUUCUAUCUGUAUGUACCAUGGCAGCCCUGGAGUCUGUGUGCACAGACUGCAUGUUUCCAUUGAAGACAAACCUGACUCAGCUCACCGGCUCAUCCUUUAAAUAAACACCAGCAUCCACCCAUUGUCUUCAAAAAGAUGGGAGCAUAUCCAGACCUCCGCAAUCACAGCUGACCACAGACUCAAAUCCCAUCCAUUCUCAGGACCCACCUUGCUUUUAUCUUUUUCUUCUGAAUUACUUACAUGGAAAAGUCAUUUUGUCAGAUAUGCGCGCUAUGGGAGCUUCUUCAAAGGUACUGAGGUGACGCUGUUGAUAACAUCUUCUCCAUCUUUGCCCAUUAAUAAU